CCUACGGGAGGCAGCAGUGAGGAAUAUUGGUCAAUGGACGAGAGUCUGAACCAGCCAAGUAGCGUGAAGGAUGACUGCCCUAUGGGUUGUAAACUUCUUUUAUAUGGGAAUAAAAUGUUCCACGUGUGGGAUUUUGUAUGUACCAUAUGAAUAAGGAUCGGCUAACUCCGUGCCAGCAGCCGCGGUAAUACGGAGGAUCCGAGCGUUAUCCGGAUUUAUUGGGUUUAAAGGGAGCGUAGGUGGAUUGUUAAGUCAGUUGUGAAAGUUUGCGGCUCAACCGUAAAAUUGCAGUUGAAACUGGCAGUCUUGAGUACAGUAGAGGUGGGCGGAAUGCGUGGUGUAGCGGUGAAAUGCUUAGAUAGCACGAAGAACUCCGAUUGCGAAGGCAGUUCACUGGACUGCAACUGACACUGAGGCUCGAAAGUGUGGGUAUCAAACAGGAUUAGAUACCCGUGUAGUC
rnacentral:rRNA from 1 species